AUGUACAGUAUGUACGUACUCUGUUCCUCACCAGACGAACAGUCGGACAGACGUAAGAUUUGCUUUCUGGGACCAAACUUUUCUUCGGCAGACCCAAGCAUUCAACAAGCGCGGCGCAUAGAGGAGCGGGAGGGGGCACCGGAACUCACCGGGAAGGACAUGCCGACGGCGUCGCUGACCAGAGAGCCGCUGGCCUCGCAAUACCUGGUGGGGAAAGGAAAGAGACGAGAUCAAUCAAAGGGUAUUGUGGAAGUAGGAGGGGCCAGAUAUUGCCUGACUUGGCUACCUGAGAGGCUUCUUGGACAGGGGGCAGACGAGCACGUCGGCGAGCGCCUGCGGGAUCCCGCCGCCGCCGUGGCGCAGCAGCAACGCCGUGGUCCGCCUCAUCGUCCUGCCAAGAAUUUUGGAUCGGGCCGGUAA
rnacentral:rRNA from 1 species